GAUGAACGCUGGCGGCGUGCCUAAUACAUGCAAGUCGAGCGAACGGACGAGGAGCUUGCUCCUUUGACGUUAGGGGCGGACGGGUGAGUAACACGUGGAUAACCUACCUAUAAGACUGGGAUAACUUCGGGAAACCGGAGCUAAUACCGGAUAAUAUAUUGAACCGCAUGGUUCAAUAGUGAAAGACGGUUUUGCUGUCACUUAUAGAUGGAUCCGCGCCGCAUUAGCUAGUUGGUAAGGUAACGGCUUACCAAGGCAACGAUGCGUAGCCGACCUGAGAGGGUGAUCGGCCACACUGGAACUGAGACACGGUCCAGACUCCUACGGGAGGCAGCAGUAGGGAAUCUUCCGCAAUGGGCGAAAGCCUGACGGAGCAACGCCGCGUGAGUGAUGAAGGUCUUCGGAUCGUAAAACUCUGUUAUUAGGGAAGAACAAAUGUGUAAGUAACUAUGCACGUCUUGACGGUACCUAAUCAGAAAGCCACGGCUAACUACGUG
rnacentral:rRNA from 1 species